rnacentral:rRNA from 1 species
UACGUAGGGAGCAAGCGUUGUCCGGAAUCAUUGGGCGUAAAGCGCGCGUAGGUGGCCUCGUAAGUCCGCUGUGAAAGUCAAAGGCUCAACCUUUGAAAGCCGGUGGAUACUGCAGGGCUAGAGUACGGAAGAGGCGAGUGGAAUUCCUGGUGUAGCGGUGGAAUGCGCAGAUAUCAGGAGGAACACCAAUAGCGAAGGCAGCUCGCUGGGACGUUACUGACACUGAGGCGCGAAAGCUAGGGGAGCAAACAGG